ensembl:lncRNA LOC120102486 uncharacterized LOC120102486
GUGUUUUCAAAGAAACCCCGGCAGGUGAAAGUAGAGAAAGAAAACGAGAGGAGAAAAAGAAGGCAGAAAGGAAGGAAGCGUCUAACACAACGCCGCGGGGAGGAAGCAGUAACGAAUCAUAAUUAAGAACACAUCAGGUUCAGAAGUGUGUUAAGAAAUUGACUGGAAGGUUAUAAAAGUCAUAUGGAAGUCAUAGCCCAGAAGAGGCACCACCACCUUGAAAAAGAACAAAUGUGGAAGAUGAUUAUUUCCCGGUUUCAAAACUUAUAGUAAUCUUCCUAUGGAGACCUGCAAAGAAUUGAUGAUAUAGGGUAAACUCACACAUUACGGUCAAUUUCAGACAAGGAGAGGAAUCCGUACAUUUGUUUGUUUGUUUGUUGUUUGUUUGUUUGGCUUUGGUGCUGGGGGUUGAACCUCGUAUGUGUUGAAUAAACCUUCUACCACUGAGCUACAUCCUUGUCCCUAAGUUUUCACAUUUUAUUUAGACAUGGGGCCUCACUAACUUAU